rnacentral:ncRNA from 1 species
UCACCAAGGGGAGCCUCGACAGGAGGCUGAGAAACUGCCCCGUGCAAUCAAAGCACAUGCGCAGUGACCCGUUGAACCUGAUCCAGUUCAUACUGGCGUAGGGACGGUGCGA